GACGAACGCUGGCGGCGUGCUUAACACAUGCAAGUCGAACGGAAAGGCCCUUUUGUGGGUGGGUGCUCGAGUGGCGAACGGGUGACUAACACGUGAGUUACCUUCCCCUUAGGGUUGGAUAACUUCAGGAAACGCGGGUUCAUACCGGAUAUGAUUGCCUGCUGCAUGGUGGUGGUUGGAUAGGUUCGGCGGUUGGGGAUGGACUGGCGGCUUGUAAGCUGGUUGGUGGGGGGGUGGCUUACAAAGUCUUUGAGGGGUAGCCGGCCUGAGAGGGUGACCGGCAAAAUUGGGCCUGAGAUACGGCCCAGACCCCUACGGGAGGAAGAAGUGGGGAAUAUUGACAAAUGGCCGGAAGCCUGAUGCAGCAACCCCGGGUGCGGGAUACCGGCUUUCGGGUUGUAACCGGCUUCCGCAUGUGCCGAAGCGUGAGUGACGGUAACGGCUAAAGAAGCACCGGCUAACUACGUG
rnacentral:rRNA from 1 species